GCCGCGGGGGCUCAGGAGCCCGUGGUGGGCGUCUGAGGAGAAGUCGCCCCAUGAGGAAGCUCUUCAACUUGGGGAGACGCCUGGGCCAGGCGGUCCUGGGCUCCGUCCACCACGAGUACGCGGGUCCCGGGUCCCACACCAGGGACGCGGAACUGCGGAAGACCCACAGGGCGGCCAUCAAGGGCGAGGCCGCGGAGGCGGAGCUGCCUGGCGCGCAGGAGCCCGGACGUGGAUGCCCGCGACAGGAAGGACAGGACUGCUCUACAUUUGGCCUGUGCGCAUGGCUGUGUGGAAGUGCUCACUCUCUUGCUGAGCAGAAAAUGCCAGAUUGACAUCUGUGACAGACUGAACAGGACACCUUUAAUGAAGGUGUAUGGUAGCCAACUCUUUUGGCAUGACAUAGAUUUCACUAAAUACAUAGAAUUAAAACGAAUUUAUCUCAUUUAAAUAUAACUAGUUGGUGAAACCUGUGGAAUAUGUAUUUUGAAUUCUUAGAAUUUAUAGUCUAAUUUUUCACCUAACACUGAUAGGCUGCACAUUGCCAGGAAGAGACGCGUUCCAUUAUUCUGCUGGAACAUGGUGCCAAUCCAAACAUUAAGGAUGUCUACGGCAACACUGCUCUUCAUGAUGUUAAACGUUAAGGAUGUCUACGGCAACACUGUUCUUCAUGAUGUUAAACGUUAAGGAUGUCUACGGCAACACUGCUCUUCAUGAUGUUAAACGUUAAGGAUGUCUACGGCAACACUGCUCUUCAUGAUGUUAAACGUUAAGGAUGUCUACGGCAACACUGCUCUUCAUGAUGUUAAACGUUAAGGAUGUCUACGGCAACACUGCUCUUCAUGAUGUUAAACGUUAAGGAUGUCUACGGCAACACUGCUCUUCAUGAUGUUAAACGUUAAGGAUGUCUACGGCAACACUGCUCUUCAUGAUGUUAAACGUUAAGGAUGUCUACGGCAACACUGCUCUUCAUGAUGUUAAACGUUAAGGAUGUCUAUGGCAACACUGCUCUUCAUGAUGCUGUGUGUAAUAAGGAGACUUCACUGGCAGGAAAACUGCUUUCCCACCAUGCAAAUAUUGAGGGUGGUAGGUAGUAGGAAGGGGGAGUAAUCUGAUACAGAGGCAGAGGCUCAUGGAAAACCUCUACUAGGACAGUGCACCUGUGGCUUUGCAGGUUUUAGCCCCCAUGGCUGCUCUCAUGGACUGGGCUAGCGUUGACUGCCUGUAGGUUUUCCAUACUGAGGGUGUGAGCCAUUGGUUAGUCUGAAUCUGGGCUCUGGAGGGUGGUGGCCUCCUGUGUGGGGGCUCCAAGCCCAUAUUUUCCUUCUGCACUGCCCUAGCAGAGGUCUUCCAAGAGGCUUUGCCUCUGCAGCAGGCUACUGCCUGGAAACACUGGGCAGUGGUGUGGGUGUUGGAUCCUUCACCAAUGGUUAAUCUUCUUGAUGCUGAUCUCCUGAUAGUGAGUUCUCAUGAGAUCUGGUCUUAUAACAAGAUGUGGCACCUCUUUCCUCUCUCUGUCUUGCUCCUACUCCUAGCAUAUUAAACAUCUCAUUGCUGCUUGGCCUUCUGGUAUGGUUAAGAGGGGCCUGAUCAGUGUGGGCCUGGUCAGUGGACCUAGUCAGAUAGGACUUGGUCAGUGAGGCCUAUCUAAUGGGGGCAUGGUCAGCAGGGGUCUGUUUAGAGAUGGUCACAUUAGGGGGAUCUAGUAGUG
ensembl:lncRNA